GACGAACGCUGACGGCGUGCUUAACACAUGCAAGUCGAACGGAAAGGCCCCCACUUUUUUGGUGGGGGUGCUCGAGUGGCGAACGGGUGAGUAACACGUGGGUGAUCUGCCCUGUACUUCGGGAUAAGCUUGGGAAACUGGGUCUAAUACCGGAUAGGACCAUGGUUUAGUGUCUCAUGGUGGAAAAAUUAUUGUUUUGGUGCAGGAUGAGCUCGCGGCCUAUCAGCUUGUUGGUGGGGUAAUGGCCUACCAAGGCGUCGACGGGUAGCCGGCCUGAGAGGGUGGACGGCCACAUUGGGACUGAGAUACGGCCCAGACUCCUACGGGAGGCAGCAGUGGGGAAUAUUGCACAAUGGGCGCAAGCCUGAUGCAGCGACGCCGCGUGGGGGAUGACGGCCUUCGGGUUGUAAACUCCUUUCGUUAGGGACGAAGCCGCACCUUUUUUUGGGUGUGGUGACGGUACCUUUGUUAAGAAGCACCGGCUAACUACGUGCCAGCAGCCGCGGUAAUACGUAGGGUGCGAGCGUUGUCCGGAAUUACUGGGCGUAAAGAGCUCGUAGGUGGUUUGUUGCGUCGUCUGUGAAAUUCCGGGGCUUAACUUCGGGGUGGCAGGCGAUACGGGCAUAACUAGAGUGCUGUAGGGGAGACUGGAAUUCCUGGUGUAGCGGUGGGAUGCGCAGAUAUCAGGAGGAACACCGAUGGCGAAGGCAGGUCUCUGGGCAGUAACUGACGCUGAGGAGCGAAAGCAUGGGGAGCGAACAGGAUUAGAUACCCUGGUAGUCCAUGCUGUAAACGGUGGGCGUUAGGUGUGGGGACCGGUUUGGUUUCUGUGCCGUAGCUAACGCAUUAAGCGCCCCGCCUGGGGAGUACGGCCGCAAGGCUAAAACUCAAAGGAAUUGACGGGGGCCCGCACAAGCGGCGGAGCAUGUGGAUUAAUUCGAUGCAACGCGAAGAACCUUACCUGGGUUUGACAUGCACCAGACGGUUGUAGAGAUACGUACCUCCCUUUGUGGUUGGUGUGCAGGUGGUGCAUGGUUGUCGUCAGCUCGUGUCGUGAGAUGUUGGGUUAAGUCCCGCAACGAGCGCAACCCUUGUCUUAUGUUGCCAGCACGUUUGGGUGGGGACUCAUGAGAGACUGCCGGGGUUAACUCGGAGGAAGGUGGGGAUGACGUCAAAUCAUCAUGCCCUUUAUGCCCAGGGCUUCACACACGCUACAAUGGUUAGUACAACGCGCUGCGAACCUGUGAGGGUGAGCGAAUCGCUGAAAGCUAAUCUCAGUUCGGAUUGGGGUCUGCAACUCGACCCCAUGAAGUCGGAGUCGCUAGUAAUCGCAGAUCAGCAAUGCUGCGGUGAAUACGUUCCCGGGCCU
rnacentral:rRNA from 1 species